UAGGGAAUCUUCGGCAAUGGGGGGAACCCUGACCGAGCAACGCCGCGUGAGUGAAGAAGGUUUUCGGAUCGUAAAGCUCUGUUGUUAAGGAAGAACGAGUGUGAGAAUGGAAAGUUCAUACUGUGACGGUACUUAACCAGAAAGGGACGGCUAACUACGUGCCAGCAGCCGCGGUAAUACGUAGGUCCCGAGCGUUGUCCGGAUUUAUUGGGCGUAAAGCGAGCGCAGGCGGUUAGAUAAGUCUGAAGUUAAAGGCAGUGGCUCAACCAUUGUAGGCUUUGGAAACUGUUUAACUUGAGUGCGGAAGGGGAGAGUGGAAUUCCAUGUGUAGCGGUGAAAUGCGUAGAUAUAUGGAGGAACACCGGUGGCGAAAGCGGCUCUCUGGUCUGUAACUGACGCUGAGGCUCGAAAGCGUGGGGAGCAAACAGG
rnacentral:rRNA from 1 species